GUCUGCGGCCACGCCACCCUGAAUGAGCCCGAUCCCGUCUGAUCUCGGAAGCUAAGCAGGGUCGGGCCUGGUUAAUACUUGGUUAAGAGAGACCACCUAGGAAGACCAGGUGCUGUAGGCG
rnacentral:rRNA from 1 species